UCCGGACUCCGUAGCGGGCUGUGGUCUUGGGCUCCUGGCUCGGGUUAACUCGGACAACGACGUGGGCCCUGCGGAGAUAGAUGCUCCGCUCCUGCCUUCUGUCUGCUUCCUCCGUGUCCUGGCCUGGGCGAGGACCAUGUCUUAUAUUUGCCCCGCCCCCGCCUUGACCUCCACUGGCGGGAAGUCCACUUCCGCUGCUCCUGGGCGGCUCCCGGCCUCACGCCGGGCGUCUUUUGCUGAGUUGGAGCCUAGCUGCACCUCCUAUCUUUGAACCCUUGAGCAGGUCUCCGCCAGCUUAUUGCAGGUCCAUGAGGGUGGAUGACCCGGUCUGAGGGCAGCCAGAGUACAGCGGAUAACAGGGCGUGGUGGCGCACCUCUGUCAUGUCACCCCUCGAAGGGCAGAGGCAGAACAAUUGCUCCAAGUUAGAGGCCGGUUUGAGUUACCUGGCGAGUCCCACGCCAGCCAAGGCUAUUUUGAAGGAACCUGUCUUCAAAACAAAACAACAACAAAACAAAAUAAGUAAAUUAUAACUUCGAGCUAGCGAGAGAAUUGGGAGAGGGAACGCUGGUUGACUUCUAACAUUCAACAACUGCUGAUGUGGGCAACGGGGCUUUGCCGUUGCAUUAAGAGCUGAGGUUGAGAAUAGUGUCGGGGACGUGCUCGGGACAAUGGAAAAGGAAAAACUAACUUGAGUGUUUACUUGAGGAGAAGAGCUUUGUGCUGAGUUUCCAGAAACUGAUAGCGUUUAUAAGGCAGGUCGGUUGUGGAACUGGGCUGUCGCUCAGAAGUAACCUUGGAAACUAACCCCCUAAUAACUUAAAAGUUUAUUUCUAGAUGCCAGUCACGUGAAGAUCCUGGGUACUGUGAGAAGGUGCUUUCCUAAGUGGGUUUGGGAUCUUCUCUCAGAAAGGUUUUGGCCAGAGGGGAAAACCUGAAAAGUAUCUAUCUUCCUCUUGGCUUCUUGUGAAAAUAACACAUUUUUAAAAAUAACAAACCAGAAAGAUACACAGUGAAAAUAUUUCCUUCCUCGGUCGUGUAUUCAGAAGCGCAGUUAAUGUAAUAAACUUCCAGGUAUGGUUUGUGGAUGUGUUA
rnacentral:lncRNA from 1 species